rnacentral:rRNA from 1 species
AUGAACGCUGGCGGCGUGCCUAAUACAUGCAAGUCGAACGAGGCUCUUUGUACUUGUACGAAGAUGUCCUAGUGGCGAACGGGUGAGUAACGCGUUGGUGACCUGCCCCGAAGUGGGGGACAACAGUCCGAAAGGACUGCUAAUACCCCAUGUGGUCGCAAGGGUUAAAGGCCUUGCGACCAAAGGAGUAAUCCGCUUUGGGAGGGGCCUGCGUCCCAUCAGCUAGUUGGUAGGGUAAUGGCCUACCAAGGCUCAGACGGGUAGGGGACCUGAGAGGGUGACCCCCCACACUGGAACUGAAACACGGUCCAGACACCUACGGGUGGCAGCAGUAGGGAAUAUUGCACAAUGGACGAAAGUCUGAUGCAGCAACGCCGCGUGUGCGAUGAAGGCCUUCGGGUUGUAAAGCACUUUUAUGAGGGAAGAGCAAGGACUGUACCUCAUGAAUAAGGAUCGGCUAACUACGU